rnacentral:rRNA from 1 species
GAGUUUGAUCUUGGCUCAGAACGAACGCUGGCGGCAGGCUUAACACAUGCAAGUCGAACGCCCCGCAAGGGGAGUGGCGCACGGGUGAGUAACGCGUGGAUAUCUGCCUUUUGGUUCGGAAUAACCCCGGGAAACUGGGGCUAAUACCGGAUGGUUCCUACGGGAUAAAGAUUUAUCGCCAAAAGAUGAGUCCGCGUCCGAUUAGCUAGUUGGUGAGGUAACGGCUCACCAAGGCGACGAUCGGUAGCUGGUCUGAGAGGACGAUCAGCCACACUGGGACUGAGACACGGCCCAGACUCCUACGGGAGGCAGCAGUGGGGAAUAUUGGACAAUGGGGGCAACCCUGAUCCAGCCAUGCCGCGUGAGUGAUGAAGGCCUUCGGUUGUAAG